rnacentral:rRNA from 1 species
GGGACGGGUGAGUAACACGUGGAUAACCUACCUAUAAGACUGGGAUAACUUCGGGAAACCGGAGCUAAUACCGGAUAAUAUAUUGAACCGCAUGGUUCAAUAGUGAAAGACGGUUUUGCUGUCACUUAUAGAUGGAUCCGCGCCGCAUUAGCUAGUUGGUAAGGUAACGGCUUACCAAGGCAACGAUGCGUAGCCGACAUGAGAGGGUGAUCGGCCACACUGGAACUGAGACACGGUCCAG